GAAAUUUCCCCUCCUAACCCUAGAGACCUCCUCACACUUCAUCUCAUUCAUUCUCUGUCCCGCCGCUGCCGGAAAUCGCCCCACGGCAGUGGCCCUCGCCAAACCACCCCAUAUUUUCACCAAAAAAAUCCUUAGCCCUCCCCUAUAACUAAUCCCCCAUUAAUUUUCCCAAAAUCCUCGCCAAGGUUGCCGAAUUUCAAAUCUGAGAUUACAGAAAACCUAAAGUUAUCUCUUUAUGAUGUUUUCUUUUACUCGUUUUGGACUCGAACUUACUAGAAUCAAUUGCUCUUAACACGAGCAAUCGAUAAACACUAGUUUGAGCCCAUUUCUAUGUCGCCGAGGUCUAGUCGAACACUACCUAUCGGUCAAGUUCCAGUCACCCAAUUUUUGGAGUUCGAAGUUCCUUACUAAUGAUGUUUGCAAGGCUUGAACAUUUGUUGGAGGAUCGACGGUAGAAUUAAUGUGAUUAUGUAAUCCCUCCAAGACUAAAUCUGAUGAGAAGCAUGUAAGGUAAUAAGAACAUAUGAAGUUUGGAUAGCUUUAGGUCAUUUGUUUGAAGAUCAUUUAGAAUCAAAAGCAUGCAAAUCUGUUAUUUAUUCUAGAUUUUAGUAACAUUGAAUGUAAUCGUAACUGGUAUUAUAAUCUGUUAGAAAAUUACAGGUGUGGCAAUAUUCUUCUUCAAUUCUGUUCUUUAGUA